rnacentral:rRNA from 1 species
UACAGAGGGUGCGAGCGUUGUCCGGGAUCACUGGGCGUAAAGGGCGCGUAGGCGGCCUUCUAAGUCGAACGUGAAAUCCCCGGGCUCAACCCGGGAACUGCGUCCGAUACUGGAAGGCUUGAAUCCGGGAGAGGGAUGCGGAAUUCCAGGUGUAGCGGUGAAAUGCGUAGAUAUCGGGAGGAACACCAGUGGCGAAGGCGACUUUCUGGCCUGUUCUUGACGCUGAGGCGCGAAAGCUAGGGGAGCAAACGGG